UCAACAAACUCAGUAGUAUUCUCUUGAAAAUCUCUUCUUGAUGAUUGAAAUACUCAUUCAUAAAUUUCCCUUGAACCUGUACGAGUCUGCUCUCGACGGUUUACUUAAAAGUGCUGACUGCAUAGCUUCUUUGUGGCAGAAGCGCGCCUAUGAUCACUUAAAGCUUCACGCCUUCAGCUUCUGAUUCUCUGAACACUAUCCUGAGUGCCCGAGGAAGAAGCAGUUCAUUGAUUAUCUUGAAUCAUAUGCAAGACACUUGGAUAUUAACCCACAUUUCAACUAGUGUAUCCACUCAAGACUGUUCAGACAUGUAGUUCUAUCUGUUCUGAGGUUGAAUGCAUAUUUCUUUAGUUUGCUAUGGCAACUGGAGAAAAUGCAGAGCAAGAGAGCAUGUUGUGCCGGAUAUUGAAGGUCUCCAAGAGUUCGGAGUAGAGGUUUUCCAUGCUUAGGAAUAGAAAUCUGGUGAAAAAUACAGAGGAAAAAAAGGUCUUGGUUGUAAAGUGUGGAAAUUGAGGCAUGGAAGUCUCAGCUGAUCCUUGUGCAACCACAAUGCUAGAGCAUCAGUCGUAGUUCAAAGCUCGGUUCUAAAGACCAUAAAGUGGAAGAGACCUGUUCUUGACAUUGAUGGCUCACGAGCUUUGGACCACACGAUGGAUAGUCUGGCAUUGUGGUUGCAGAGAUCAAGGGAAACUUCCAUGCCUGAAUUUCCACACACCGCAAUCAGAACUUUUUUCCCACUGUAUUUUUCACCAGAUUUAUAUUCAAAAGCAUUGAUAACCUCUCCUCCGAAUGCUUGUAGUCCUUUGUUAUCUGGCACAACCGCCCUGCAUUUUCUCCAGUUGCCACAGAAAGCCAUUGAUUGAUGUACUCAAACUCGUCAGACUUAGCUGAUCAUCAGCACUCGUGGAACUGUGGAUUGAUAUAGAAGUUUCUUGCAUAUGAUUCAAAAUAAUCAGUGAACUGUUUCUUUGUUGGGGAUUCAGGAUAGUGGUCAGGGAAUGGGAAUUCAGGAAGCUGAAAUAAUUGCUUCAGAAGGCGAAGCUCUAAGCAAUCAAAAGUGCGUUUUUGCCACAAAGAAGCUCUGCAGUCAGCUUUUUCGAGGCUGACAAAGGGUACUCCUUUUUCAAGGCAUGCUCCUACAGCUAAUCUCGAUGGUCCAAUCCAACUAUAACCGGUUUCUUAAUCCAGACACAGACACAGGACAACCAGAGAAGUCAUUUUAAUCCAGAAAUGUAAAUAUACUAAACUGUAGGAACUAAGGCAUGAUUCAAUUUCACUCCAGAAUCUUUGUAGAGAGAUCGUAUUUAAGAUGGCCAGAAAUUUAUACAGAUUUUGAAAAUGCGACUCAGAUUUCUAUAUCUUCACCAUGUACAGCAUACAGACCCUUCCCUGCCAUUCACUAUGUUCCCAUAACCUGUGAUCUUACUUCACACAUCGGGUUCGAGCACCUACUAUAUAAUCCAAUCCCCCUAUACAUAGUGUUGGAAUAUAAUAUGAUCCUGGUAAGCCCUCCUCUGACAGCUCGAGGUUUUAGGAGAAUUGGUCACUUAACAUGAUAUAGGGAAAUAUUUCAUCACAGAUGUUUAUGCGCCAAGGAUUAGGGGCUUUAAACUAGAUUACUAGUAAUAUACAACUAAAAUCUCUUUAAGAUUAGGAAUGCAAGUACAAGUAUAAUACACAAUCUUAUUAAAGCUUGAGAGAAAUAUAAAUAUCGAUUACAACAAAAGCAUAAGCGCCAUUAGCACCACUCAGCAGACUUCUUCAAUCUCAUCCAAUGCAUAGUUGUUUGUUGAUACACCUGCAUAGUUCACUUUCUUGAACCUCACCACAACUGGAUAUCGCGUUUUCGGGUCCUG